rnacentral:misc_RNA from 1 species
UACGUAGGUGGCAAGCGUUGUCCGGAAUUAUUGGGCGUAAAGCGCGCGCAGGCGGUCCCUUAAGUCUGAUGUGAAAGCCCACGGCUCAACCGUGGAGGGUCAUUGGAAACUGGUAGGCUUGAGUUUGGGAGAGGUUCGUGGAAUUCCAGGUGUAGGGGUGAAAUCCGUAGAGAUCUGGAGGAACACCGGUGGCGAAGGCGACUUUCUGGUCUGUAACUGACGCUGAGGCGCGAAAGCGUGGGGAGCAAACAGG